AAGCGGCCGUAGCUGCCGUGCGUUGUAGGCGCUGCUCCGCUGGCCUGCUAGCAGCAGCAGCAGCAGCAGCAGCAGCAGGAGCUGGUGUGGCUGUUGCUCCGUCCGAUGCGAACAACGUCCGCCGGCUUAAACUUCUUAGUUUUAAAGAGCGGCAGCGGCGGCUCGUUCCGCCCGGCCGGAGACGAGUCGAUCGUCGUCGUCAUCGUCUCGAUCGGGCAGCAGCAGCGGUUUUCACUUGCUGUUCGCCGUCCGCGCCCCCUCGCCGGUACCUGUUCCGUUGUGGCCUCCGUGGCUGCGGCAGUUGGGAUCUGGCUGUCGUUAGCGCCGUCGGUUGCAGUCGAACGUGCCGCCGCGCCAGUAGUCGCAGUGGCGCUGAAGAAGCGGCGGCUAGCGCCGACGAGGUUCAAAGAACGGCCGUUCGACCUCGAGCAUCGAGGACGGCUCGUCGCCGGUUGGAAAAAGAAAAAGCAGCUUCACCAGUGCACAAGGCGUCGUCCUACUACGCAUGCCGAUGUGCCUUCGACACGCAGACACUGCUGUCGGCGCAAUCAGCGCUAGUAGCAUUAGAAGUGCUGCUGUAGGAGCAGGAAAGUA
rnacentral:misc_RNA from 1 species